AAUCUCUGGCUUCUGGUCAAUAAGUGCAAUUCUUUCGCCUUUUACUAAAGAAUUCCGUGGCCAGGAGCAUGAAAUGAGUCUUUAGACGAAUUUUUGAAAGUUCUGUCUUCGGAUGGAACA
rfam:Strigamia maritima strain Brora ctg7180001224390, whole genome shotgun sequence.